CCUCAUUUUCAUCUGGGGUUUGGUCACGAGGCACGAUAACUUCUGCGCUUGUCAAGUUCUGGAGCUCGUUUACCUGGAAAGGCAGAGAAGGAACUCCUGUGGGUUUGGCUCCAAAGGGCUGAGUGUCAGAGAAAUGGGAGUGUAGCCCUAACUCCACGAGGCUCUGCCUCUCAGGCUGAAUGCUCCAAUUCUGCAGACACUCGUGCGGACUUCUAGUAAGAGCCCAGAACCUGCGCUCCCCGACCCCAGUUCCUGCCACUCAACGUCACUUCAUCAUCACAGGGCCAGAACUGCUCCAGUCACCUCCUCACCAACUUCCCAAAGAUCCGUCCCUGAGCCUGAAGACAAGAUGACUGGUGAUCGGGCCACUGUCAGUGCUGUGCAGGAACUCGGAGUCCCAGUGACGGGAUGUGUGGGCUUCCCUCCAGGCUCUGGGCAGCUGCCCACCCACCUCAGUUCUACCACCCAUCUCAGCCACCAUACUCCCCACACCAUCUGUGCACGCUGCCGAGCCUCGUGAUCUGCAGGUGACUGCUUCCUCUAAGGAACGUGUGUGUCUAGGCAAGGGCAACGAUGAGCCACCAAGACUGCACCUUGUUUUCAUAUGCCCAGUGCCUCUUCUCUAGAGCACUGGCCCCGCCGAGCACAGUGACAGAAGAGCAGAACACACUCAGGAGGUGGAAGCAGGAGAAUCAGGACUUCAAGGUCAUCACAGGCGCCAAGGUAAGGUGGCUGUUAGGCUAGGCUAUGAGACCAAGUCUCAAGCAAGCAAACAAAAGAUAGUGGAACAUCGUCCAUUACAGGGCCGCUCAGGCAGAAGGAACCCAGGGUCAGGGAGGUGCCAUUCACUCUGCUCUGUGGUAUACUAUCUCCAAAGCUCAGAGGAGACCUUCACUUAGAGGUCUGAUUCUGUUUUCACCCCAUCUAGCCUCUAAGCCAGGGUCUACCCUGGGACUUCAGGGUCCAGUGCUGUGUCCCAGCUUCCUUGGGAACACUCAUCCACUGCAUGGCGUCACCUGCACUGAUCUAGAAAGAAGGACCCCUUCAUCGAGACCUCUGGAGACUCCUCUGGCCUUGCUUACUUACUCUGUGGCAUGAGGACAAAUGGAAGACAUAGGUAACCAGUAAGCAAGCUCCCGAGGACCACCCUCCAUGGUGGGCUGUUAUUGCUUGGUGGUAGCCGCAGCCUGUUCAGGGGAUGGAGACUGGGGCAGGCUGGCCCUGAGACAGGUGGCAGGAAGCCCCGUCUACUUCAAGAUUUACCAUUGGCACAGAGUCCUGAGAAUGCUGUGGAACAAUGCCUACAGGACUGAUCAGACCUGCGCCUGAACUCCCUCGUUCUUCGUUUCCCUGAAGGCACUAACUGGGAAUGACUCUGAAGAUCAGUAAGGUUGCUACGGGAGGAGGAGGCCGUGGAGCAGAAACAGGACAAUCUGGGCAAGUCUCGGCUGUCACACUCUGUAGCUUUGUGGCCAUGGGUAGAUAGUCAGACCUCCUGGGCUCCAUUUCUCAUAAGCAUUAGCAAAUGGGGAAGUUAUUGCUGUGGUCAGCAAUAGCAAAUGGUCAGGAUCCUAGAGGUCAAUGGAAUUUAUAUCUAAGAGCCUAGGCUGCCCACUUAGGUUCCUUGCUCAGUUCCUAUUCUGUGUCUCACUUCUUCCAGUAAAGUGGGGCUUGGAUGAAGGAACCCCUCAAAGCUCUUUGGUCCAAAUUGUCUCACUGUGGGUUUUCAGCAUCUCAGACUACAGCACUGAGCACCAGCAAAGAUCUCCUGGAUGCAGCCAGCCUGUUCUCAUCCCCACUUUCUCCACUGUCUAGGCCAGGAAGCUGCCUGUGUCAGGCCACUGGACAUAGAGGACCGCAUGUCUGCAUCACAGCCGCCCGGUCUAGGCUUCACCCUGUGUGAGUGCGAGUCUCUGACUGCAAGCAGACAGAUGCAGGCUGAGGGUGCAGCAAGGUGCAGUUCUUUGCCAAUGGGACUGCAGUCCUCAUUCUGCACAAUUCAGAAUGUUCUGGGUUUUCCUGUUUGUUUAUUUUUUUUCUGUCAUACUUGCUGCAGGAAAAACUCCAGCUCUUAGGGAGAAAGUGUAAGUAUUCUUUCUCUCCAAGUCAUGAGACUCGGUUUCAUAAUUCAGGGUUGUCUCAUGGUAGCAAAUUGUCUUCCACAGCAGUGGGAAGUGUUCCCGGCAGUGUUCAGCGUCUUAGCAGAGCUGACAGCCGGGCUUGAAGCAGGCCCACGGCAAACAAUCCUUGACAACCGAGAGAGGCAAGCCAAGAGGACUUUCCUAGCCUUCUGCUCAGUCCUGGCCUCCUAACAGGUGAUGCCAUCAGCUCAUGUCUGCCCAUGAUUUUGUCAGCACCUUCCAGAAAGUUCUUCAUUCAAUUUGUUUUCUCAUAGUCUGUAAGUCUUUGAAGCAUAGACUAAUGCUGUGGGAU